AGUGAACGCUGGCGGUAGGCCUAACACAUGCAAGUCGAACGGCAGCACAGUAAGAGCUUGCUCUUACGGGUGGCGAGUGGCGGACGGGUGAGGAAUACAUCGGAAUCUACUUUUUCGUGGGGGAUAACGUAGGGAAACUUACGCUAAUACCGCAUACGACCUACGGGUGAAAGCAGGGGAUCUUCGGACCUUGCGCGAUUGAAUGAGCCGAUGUCGGAUUAGCUAGUUGGCGGGGUAAAGGCCCACCAAGGCGACGAUCCGUAGCUGGUCUGAGAGGAUGAGCAGCACCACUGGAAAUGGGAAACGGUCCAGACCCCUAGGGGGGGAACCAGUGGGGAAUUUUGGAAAAGGGGGGCAAGCCUGAUCCAGCCAUACCGGGUGGGGGAAGAAGGCCUUCGGGUUGUAAAGCCCUUUUGUGGGGAAAAAAAAGCAGCAGGUUAAUACCCCGCUGUUCUGACGGCACCCAAAGAAUAAGCCCCGGCUAACUUCGU
rnacentral:rRNA from 1 species